AUGGGCUCGUGUGCCUCGCGCUUGCCGGCGUCGGCGGCGGCGGCCGGGUCCGGGCGGGCAGUGGCCACCAAGACGGCGAAGGUGAUUCGUCUGGACGGCUCCAUGGCGCAGUACGCGGCGCCGGUCACGGCACGCGAGGCACUGGUUGACGCCGCCGGCGCGUCGAGCUUCCUAUGCAGCUCGGACGAGCUCCGCUUCGAUGCGCCCGCCCGCGCGCUGGCCGCGGACGAGGCGCUCCAGCCCGGGUGGCUCUACUUCGUGCUGCCCCUGUCUAUGCUCCGUCGGCCGCUCUCGGGGCAGGAGAUGACCGCCCUCGCCGUCAGGGCCAGCUCGGCGCUGGCCGUCGCGAGCGGCAUCUCGUCCCCCACGCGCGGCAAGAACGGAGCCGCGGUGGCUGGCGCCAACGCCAAGCGACGGAAGGUGGCGGCUCGAGUGGCACCUCUCGCUGACGAUGACGAUGUCGCGGAGCGGGACGGUGGAUGGGACCAGCACCUUGCGUACGACAAAUACGGUGGCGUGCGCAAGAGGGUGCUCGCCGCCGGUGAUGAGACGGCUGGGAAGGCGAGGAAGGGGAAUGGUUACGGUGGGAGGCGCAGCAGCCGUCAUCGUCGUCGUCGUGCAGGCGCGCAUAGGUUGAGCGCGAUUUUGGAGGCCGAUGACUUCUGA
rnacentral:rRNA from 1 species